rnacentral:rRNA from 1 species
UACGAAGGGGGCUAGCGUUGUUCGGAAUUACUGGGCGUAAAGCGCACGUAGGCGGCUUUGCAAGUUAGAGGUGAAAGCCCGGGGCUCAACCCCCGGAAUUGCCUUUAAAACUGCAUCGCUAGAAUUGUGGAGAGGUAAGUGGAAUUCCGAGUGUAGAGGUGAAAUUCGUAGAUAUUCGGAAGAACACCAGUGGCGAAGGCGACUUACUGGACACAUAUUGACGCUGAGGUGCGAAAGCGUGGGGAGCAAACAGG